UACGUAGGGGGCGAGCGUUGUCCGGAUUUAUUGGGCGUAAAGAGCUCGUAGGCGGUUCGAUAAGUCGGAUGGGAAAUCUCCACGCUCAACGUGGAGAGGCCAUUCGAUACUGUCGUGACUCGAGUCCGGUAGGGGAGUGUGGAAUUCCCGGUGUAGCGGUGAAAUGCGCAGAGAUCGGGAGGAACACCCGUAGCGAAGGCGGCACUCUGGGCCGGUACUGACGCUGAGGUGCGAAAGCGUGGGGAGCAAACAGG
rnacentral:rRNA from 1 species